rnacentral:lncRNA from 1 species
UGUGAUGUACGUCAACGAUCAAGUCGAAGACAGUGCAUGAGAUGAACGGCGAUCUAAGCGGUUGAUGGCGAUUGGAUCAAGAGUUGGUCAAGGAUCGAGUCAAGGAGGCUUGGAACCAAUUCAAAAGUUGAAGAUCAGUUGAUCGAUUGACGUGCAUGUGCUUGUAAUAUGACCUAAUUAGAAUCCAUGAUCAUUACCUAUUUAAAGUUUAGCUUUAUAACUGCCUACAAUGUGCCGUUUGCAUGUGAUGUGAAUGAGAGCGGGGUAGAUAGGUUUACAUGUGAUGUAGCAAACCCAAUAAGACCUAAACUAAAACCUCCUCAAUCAAGUCGAGAGUGAACCAACAUGAGCGAGUCAUAUUAGAUUAAUUGAUCUAAUUGGUGUCUAGG